rnacentral:sRNA from 1 species
GCUGCUACUAAAGAGACAAUGUGGAUUA